UACGAAGGGGGCUGGCGUUGUUCGGAAUUACUGGGCGUAAAGCGUGCGCAGGCGGCUUCUCAAGUCAGGGGUGAAAGCCCAGAGCUCAACUCUGGAAUUGCCUUUGAGACUGAGAGGCUUGAGUACGGGAGAGGUGAGUGGAAUUCCCAGUGUAGGAGGUGAAAUGCGCAGAUAUCGGGAAGGAACACCAAUUGCGAAGGCAGCUCGGCUGGGAACGUUACUUGACGCUGAGACGCGAAAGCGUGGGGAGCAAACAGGA
rnacentral:rRNA from 1 species